UUCCGGUUGAUCCUGCCGGAGGCCAUUGCUAUCGGAGUCCGAUUUAGCCAUGCUAGUUGCACGAGUUUAGACUCGUAGCGUAUAGCUCAGUAACACGCGGCCAAACUACCCUACAGACCGCAAUAACCUCGGGAAACUGAGGCCAAUAGCGGAUAUAACUCCCAUGCUGGAGUACUGAGAGUUAGAAACGUUCUGGCGCUGUAGGAUGUGGCUGCGGCCGAUUAGGUAGAUGGUGGGGUAACGGCCCACCAUGCCAAUAAUCGGUACAGGUUGUGAGAGCAAGAGCCUGGAGACGGUAUCUGAGACAAGAUACCGGGCCCUACGGGGCGCAGCAGGCGCGAAACCUUUACACUGCACGACAGUGCGAUAGGGGGACUCCGAGUGUGAGGGCAUAUAGCCCUCGCUUUUCUGUACCGUAAGGUGGUACAAGAAUAAGGACUGGGCAAGACCGGUGCCAGCCGCCGCGGU
rnacentral:rRNA from 1 species